GAUGAACGCUGGCGGCGUGCUUAACACAUGCAAGUCGAACGAUGAAGCUCAGCUUGCUGGGUGGAUUAGUGGCGAACGGGUGAGUAACACGUGAGUAACCUGCCCUUAACUCUGGGAUAAGCCUGGGAAACUAGGUCUAAUACCGGAUAGGAGCGCCUACCGCAUGGUGGGUGUUGGAAAGAUUUAUCGGUUUUGGAUGGACUCGCGGCCUAUCAGCUUGUUGGUGAGGUAAUGGCUCACCAAGGCGACGACGGGUAGCCGGCCUGAGAGGGUGACCAGCCACACUGGGACUGAGACACGGCCCAGACUCCUACGGGAGGCAGCAGUGGGGAAUAUUGCACAAUGGGCGAAAGCCUGAUGCAGCGACGCCGCGUGAGGGAUGACGGCCUUCGGGUUGUAAACCUCUUUCAGUAGGGAAGAAGCGAAAGUGACGGUACCUGCAGAAGAAGCACCGGCUAACUACGUG
rnacentral:rRNA from 1 species